AGAAAAAACGCAUUAUUGGAUAUUUACAACGUUAAAAUAAGUAUAACAUGAGUACAAAUUGUAUUUGAUUUUUUGGAGGCAUAACAAUUCGAGAAAUGCUGUUUAAGGAGAAAAAGUUUUAUGGACGAAUAAACGCUUCUACAUAUUUAGUGACUGGCGCUGAGGGAAAGGUAGAAGAAAUUGACGGGUCAAAAUUUGGAAGACGGAAGUAUAAUAGUGGACAUCACGUUGAUGGUCAAUGGGUAUUCUGCGGUGUUGAACGGGAAACCAAUUGUUGUUUUUAGUGCCCGUCGAUUGAGGAGAUAAAUCCACUUUUAUUUUCAUUAUAAAAGAAUGGAUUAUUCCGGGCACCACCAUCAUAAGCGAUUGCUGGAAAAGUUACGACUGCUUAGAAGAUGAAGGUUAUCAACACCGAACAGUUAAUCAUUCUGUGACAUUUAAAGACCCUGAAACUGGUGCUCACAUCAAUAAGCGAGGGAUGCACAAAGUCAGCAGUAACUGUUGUAGGUAAUAUACGAGUAAAGCAAGCUUGGGGUAUAUGCGGCGUGGUGGUUUUCCAUUGUCUUCCGUACCAGUCUAGUUAUUAUUAUUUAUAGUCCAAUAUCUUGUAUACUUUUCAAGAGUUUUAAUAUGUUUUAAGAAAUAUAAAAAAAUAUA